rnacentral:Y_RNA from 1 species
AGUUGGUCCGAAGGUUGUGGGUUAUUGUUAAGCUGUUUAACAUUGUCUCCCCCCACACCCCUAUUUGACUAACUUGAG